GUCGCCCACAUAUAAGGUGAGCACCUCAUUAGUAUUCAAGACCUCAUAGAUGCUUAUGUAUAAUACAUAUUUCGGAAAAUUAUUACUGUUUGUUCACAUCGU
rnacentral:lncRNA from 1 species